UACGGAGGGGGCUAGCGUUGUUCGGAAUUACUGGGCGUAAAGCGCGCGUAGGCGGAUUGUUAAGUCAGGGGUGAAAUCCCGGGGCUCAACCUCGGAACUGCCUUUGAUACUGGCGAUCUAGAGGCCGGGAGAGGUGAGUGGAACUGCGAGUGUAGAGGUGAAAUUCGUAGAUAUUCGCAAGAACACCAGUGGCGAAGGCGGCUCACUGGCCCGGAACUGACGCUGAGGUGCGAAAGCGUGGGGAGCAAACAGG
rnacentral:rRNA from 1 species